rnacentral:rRNA from 1 species
GCUUGCACUCUUGGUUAGUGGCGGACGGGUGAGUAACACGUAGGCAACCUGCCUGUAAGACCGGGAUAACCCACGGAAACGUGAGCUAAGACCGGAUAGAUGGAUCGUGCACCUGUAUGAUUCAGGAAAGAGGGAGCAAUCUCUCGCUUACGGAUGGGCCUGCGGCGCAUUAGCUAGUUGGUGGGGUAACGGCUCACCAAGGCGACGAUGCGUAGCCGACCUGAGAGGGUGAACGGCCACACUGGGACUGAGACACGGCCCAGACUCCUACGGGAGGCAGCAGUAGGGAAUCUUCCGCAAUGGACGCAAGUCUGACGGAGCAACGCCGCGUGAGUGAUGAAGGUUUUCGGAUCGUAAAGCUCUGUUGCCAGGGAAGAAUAAGUAUGUGAGUAACUGCACGUAUGAUGACGGUACCUGAGAAGAAAGCCCCGGCUAACUACGUGCCAGCAGCCGCGGUAAUACGUAGGGGGCAAGCGUUGUCCGGAAUUAUUGGGCGUAAAGCGCGCGCAGGCGGUUUCUUAAGUCCGAUGUAUAAGCCCGGGGCUCAACCCCGGGAGGCAUGGGAAACUGGGAGGCUUGAGUGCAGAAGAGGAGAGUGGAAUUCCACGUGUAGCGGUGAAAUGCGUAGAUAUGUGGAGGAACACCAGUGGCGAAGGCGACUCUCUGGUCUGUAACUGACGCUGAGGCGCGAAAGCGUGGGGAGCAAACAGGAUUA